UCAUCCUUCUAAAUCGAUAGUGUAGCCGUCCUCAAUGUAAAUUUCCGACACCAAAACUGGAUCUCUGUAUAUGAAAACAAAUGAAAGAAAUAAAAAGAAAAGAGGAAAAAGCUAUUGUGAAUCUUCUUCGACCUUGGAACUCAUUCGGUAUGUCCUCCUCGGUGAUCGUCUCUAGCCUCGGAGAAUUAGAUGAUUUUUUAUGGGGAGAGAUGUAGAUGGCUGGUGCAACUUCUUCCAUCCAUGGCUGUGAAACUGAUCUAAUCUUUCUUGCCAUUUCUAUGAAGAGGAAGAAGAUGAG